rnacentral:rRNA from 1 species
AUUGAACGCUGGCGGCAGGCCUAACACAUGCAAGUCGAACGGUAACAGGAAGAAGCUUGCUUCUUUGCUGACGAGUGGCGGACGGGUGAGUAAUGUCUGGGAAACUGCCUGAUGGAGGGGGAUAACUACUGGAAACGGUAGCUAAUACCGCAUAACGUCGCAAGACCAAAGAGGGGGACCUUCGGGCCUCUUGCCAUCGGAUGUGCCCAGAUGGGAUUAGCUAGUAGGUGGGGUAACGGCUCACCUAGGCGACGAUCCCUAGCUGGUCUGAGAGGAUGACCCGCCACCCUGGAACUGAGACACGGUCCAGACUCCUACGGGAGGCAGCAGUGGGGAAUAUUGCACAAUGGGCGCAAGCCUGAUGCAGCCAUGCCGCGUGUAUGAAGAAGGCCUUCGGGUUGUAAAGUACUUUCAGCGGGGAGGAAGGGAGUAAAGUUAAUACCUUUGCUCAUUGACGUUACCCGCAGAAGAAGCACCGGCUAACUCCGUG